rnacentral:rRNA from 1 species
GUACACUCCUGGGAAGGCAGCAGUGGGGAAUUUUGGACAAUGGGCGAAAGCCUGAUCCAGCAAUGCCGCGUGAGUGAAGAAGGCCUUCGGGUUGUAAAGCUCUUUUGUCAGGGAAGAAACGGUGAGAGCUAAUAUCUCUUGCUAAUGACGGUACCUGAAGAAUAAGCACCGGCUAACUACGUGCCAGCAGCCGCGGUAAUACGUAGGGUGCAAGCGUUAAUCGGAAUUACUGGGCGUAAAGCGUGCGCAGGCGGUUUUGUAAGUCUGAUGUGAAAUCCCCGGGCUCAACCUGGGAAUUGCAUUGGAGACUGCAAGGCUAGAAUCUGGCAGAGGGGGGUAGAAUUCCACGUGUAGCAGUGAAAUGCGUAGAUAUGUGGAGGAACACCGAUGGCGAAGGCAGCCCCCUGGGUCAAGAUUGACGCUCAUGCACGAAAGCGUGGGGAGCAAACAGGAUUAGAUACCCGGGUAGUCCCAUGA